rnacentral:rRNA from 1 species
CCCCUAGAUGUUCUGGGCCGCACGCGCGCUACACUGAACAGUUCAACAAGUCUUAACCUUGGCCGAUAGGUCUGGGUAAUCUUUGAACGCUGUUCGUGAUUGGGAUAGACCUUUGCAAUUAUGGGUCUUCAACGAGGAAUUCCUAGUAAACGCAAGUCAUCAAUCUGCAUUGAUUACGUCCCUGCCCUUUGUACACACCGCCCGUCGCACCUACCGAUUGAAUGGUCCGGUGAAGCCUCGGGAUUGUGGCGAGUUCCCUUUAUUGGGAGUUUGUCGCGAGAACUUGUCUAAACCUUAUCAUUUAGAGGAAGGUGAANUCGUAACA